CCCUUUUCUAUUUCACAACCCAGCAGAAAAGAUAACAACAAAUCAGAGCAACUAAUUAACUUAAAGUAACAUAAAACUUAAGAACCGAGGUCAUAAAUUUGAUGGCAGAAGCAACUAAUAAGUUGAUCAAAGCUAACUAAACAAAAGCAAUUAAAACUAAACAAAGUAGCUACUAUGUUAAGUAGAUGAUUGAGAACUCUAACACUACACAUGCAAAUGAUUGAGAAAAACAUAUUUUGUGGACUCGGUUACUUCACCUUAUCAAGAACUGGAAAGAAGCACAUGAGUGAAUCAAGAGCACGUCCAGGAGUGAUGAGAGCCUUUGGCAAAAUAGCAGCACCUUAUAUCUUAUAUGAUUCAGAGAGUGUGAGUUGAGUUUGAGUACUUAUGUUGUGUUUGGUUGGGGUGAAUGAUUUCGGAAGGAAUGGAAUGAAAAAUGAACUAUCUUAUGAAUGAUUUUUAAGAAAUUUCAUUCCUUCCUCCAUUCCAUUCCCUACAUCAUAUGCUACAUAUCACCUCUUCCAUUUGAGAUGGAAUGCUCCAUUCACUCCCAUCCUCAAUUUCUUCUCAAACCUCAUCAUAGCAAUUUUGCACUCNAAAAAUGACAAUCUUUUAUGUUGAUAUAUAACCACGCAUAUGUACAAAUCGAUACCUCUACAGGUAAUUGUAAUGUGAGAUUAGUGUAAAUUAAUAAUCUAAGAGACUAAGAUAAACUAAAUAGUAAUAAAAUUAAAUGAUUAAUACAAACUUCUUGCAUAGUUCUUGUUGCCACUUGCCAGUACUAAACAAUAUGUAAUAUAACUAUAUCAAAUUUAUAACAGAUUGUAUGCUGUCUGGUAAAUUUUUGUUGCCUCUCAGCGUGUUUUUUCCUCUUCCUAUCCAAGUAGCUAUAGUUAUUGGUCCACAAGUAUGAACAACAUUUGAAAGUCCUACAUACCAAUUUUUCAAAACAGUAUAUAAGGAUGAAUACGAACAGUUACAAAUAACAUUUAUUAAUUAAAGCUCCCACUUUUGAUUUAAAUACCCAAAAAUAUAACAAAUAAAUUUAAAUAUUGGGGUGGAAGGGCUCGAAAUCGAGAUCUCUCCCUGAACCUUGUUAAGUUACCAACAAACUCAAAUUCUAGGAAUAGAUAAUAAUCAAUUGAUUCAACAAAUCCCCUUUUCUAUUUCACAACCCAGCAGAAAAGAUAACAACAAAUCAGAGCAACUAAUUAACUUAAAGUAACAUAAAACUUAAGAACCGAGGUCAUAAAUUUGAUGGCAGAAGCAACUAAUAAGUUGAUCAAAGCUAACUAAACAAAAGCAAUUAAAACUAAACAAAGUAGCUACUAUGUUAAGUAGAUGAUUGAGAACUCUAACACUACACAUGCAAAUGAUUGAGAAAAACAUAUUUUGUGGACU
rnacentral:lncRNA from 1 species